rnacentral:rRNA from 1 species
UACAGAGGGUGCGAGCGUUAAUCGGAAUUACUGGGCGUAAAGCGUGCGCAGGCGGUGAUGUAAGACCGAUGUGAAAUCCCCGGGCUUAACCUGGGAACUGCAUUGGUGACUGCAUUGCUGGAGUACGGCAGAGGGGGAUGGAAUUCCGCGUGUAGCAGUGAAAUGCGUAGAUAUGCGGAGGAACACCGAUGGCGAAGGCAAUCCCCUGGGCCUGUACUGACGCUCAUGCACGAAAGCGUGGGGAGCAAACAGG